UCUUUUUGUAAUAUUUUUAAAGUCUAACCUGCCCACUGAAUAAAUUUAAAUGGCCGCAGUAUCCUAACUGUGCAAAGGUAGCAUAAUCAUUAGUCUUUUAAUUGAAGGCUGGUAUGAAUGGUUGGACGAGGUAUUAACUGUUUCAAAUUAAUUUUUUAUAGAAUUUUAUUUUUUAGUCAAAAAGCUAAAAUAUAAUUAAAAGACGAGAAGACCCUAUAAAUCUUUACUUUUAAAUUAUUUUAAUAAUAAAGAUAAAUUUUAUUAUAAUAGUUAAAAAAGUUUUAUUGGGGUGAUAUUAAAAUUUAAUAAACUUUUAAUUUUAUUUAAACAUAAAUUAAUGAAUAAUUGAUCCAGUUUUAUUGAUUAUAAAAUUAAGUUACUUUAGGGAUAACAGCGUAAUUUUUUUGGAGAGUUCUUAUCGAUAAAAAAGAUUGC
rnacentral:rRNA from 1 species